CGUAGGCUCCAAGCGUUGUCCGGAUUUAUUGGGCGUAAAGAGCUCGUAGGCGGUUUAGUAAGUCGGGUGUUAAAACUCUGGGCUCAACCCGGAGAGGCCAUCCGAUACUGCUGUGACUUGAGUUCAGGAGGGGAGCGGGGAAUUCCUAGUGUAGCGGUGAAAUGCGCAGAUAUUAGGAGGAACACCGGUGGCGAAGGCGCCGCUCUGGACUGAAACUGACGCUGAGGAGCGAAAGCAUGGGUAGCAAACAGGAUUAGAUACCCUGGUAGUCCAUGCCGUAAACGGUGGGCACUAGGUGUGGGUUCCAACUAACGGGAUCCGCGCCGUCGCUAACGCAUUAAGUGCCCCGCCUGGGGAGUACGGUCGCAAGACUA
rnacentral:rRNA from 1 species